UCCGAGUUGGACCCGGCAGUCUCGCUAGACAUAGUAACUAGCGACGAGGGUUGCGCUCGUUGCGGGACUUAACCCAACACCUCACGGCACGAGCUGACGACAGCCAUGCAGCAUCUGCACACGCUCCCUUGCGGGUCGGUCACCUUUCGGUUUCCUACCACGUGCAUGUCAGCCCAGGUAAGGUUCUUCGCGUUGCGUCGAAUUAAACCACACGCUCCGCUGCUUGUGCGGGCCCCCGUCAAUUCCUUUGAGCUUCACCGUUGCCGGCGUACUCCCCAGGUGGAUUACUUAGCGCUUUCGCUUGGCCGCGUACUGUAUAUCGCACACAGCGAGUAAUCAACGUUUACAGUGUGGACUAC
rnacentral:misc_RNA from 1 species